rnacentral:rRNA from 1 species
UGCAAGUCGAACGGAGUAUUCACGAAAGAGGUUUCGGCCAAUGGAGUGAAUUACUUAGUGGCGGACUGGUGAGUAACGCGUGAGGAACCUGCCUUUCAGUGGGGGACAACAGUUGGAAACGACUGCUAAUACCGCAUAAUACAUUUGAGGGACAUCCCUUGAAUGUCAAAGAUUUAUUGCUGAAAGAUGGCCUCGCGUCUGAUUAGCUAGUUGGUGAGGUAACGGCCCACCAAGGCGACGAUCAGUAGCCGGACUGAGAGGUUGACCGGCCACAUUGGGACUGAGAUACGGCCCAGACUCCUACGGGAGGCAGCAGUGGGGAAUAUUGGGCAAUGGACGAAAGUCUGACCCAGCAACGCCGCGUGAAGGAAGAAGGCUUUCGGGUUGUAAACUUCUUUUAAGGGGGAAGAGUAGAAGACGGUACCCCUUGAAUAAGCCACGGCUAACUACGUGCCAGCAGCCGCGGUAAUACGUAGGUGGCAAGCGUUGUCCGGAUUUACUGGGUGUAAAGGGCGUGCAGCCGGGAAGGCAAGUCAGAUGUGAAAUCUGGGGGCUCAACCUCCAAACUGCAUUUGAAACUGCUUUUCUUGAGUAUCGGAGAGGUAAUCGGAAUUCCUUGUGU